rnacentral:rRNA from 1 species
GUCAUACGAUGGCAUCAGAAUAUGACGAAAGGUUUGGCGGUGAAGGAUGGGGAUGCGUCUGAUUAGCUUGUUGGUGAGGUAACGGCUCACCAAGGCGACGAUCAGUAGAGGUUCUGAGAGGAAGGUCCCCCACAUGGGAACUGAGACACGGUCCAAACUCCUACGGGAGGCAGCAGUGAGGAAUAUUGGUCAAUGGGCGAGAGCCUGAACCAGCCAAGUAGCGUGCAGGACGACGGCCCUAUGGGUUGUAAACUGCUUUUAUAUGGGGAUAAAGUGAGUUACGUGUAGCUUAUUGCAGGUACCAUAUGAAUAAGGACCGGCUAAUUCCGUGCCAGCAGCCGCGGUAAUACGGAAGGUCCAGGCGUUAUCCGGAUUUAUUGGGUUUAAAGGGAGCGUAGGCCGCCCCUUAAGCGUGUUGUGAAAUGCCGCGGCUCAACCGUGGCACUGCAGCGCGAACUGGGGGGCUUGAGUGCACGCAACGCAGGCGGAAUUCGUGGUGUAGCGGUGAAAUGCUUAGAUAUCACGAAGAACUCCGAUUGCGAAGGCAGCUUGCGGGAGUGCGACUGACGCUGAAGCUCGAAGGUGCGGGUAUCGAACAGGAUUAGAUACCCUGGUAGUCCGCACAG